AGAGUUUGAUCCUGGCUCAGGAUGAACGCUGGCGGCGUGCCUAAUACAUGCAAGUCGAACGAAGAUCUAGCUUGCUAGAUCUUAGUGGCGAACGGGUGAGUAAUACAUAAAUAAUCUACCCAUUGGACUGGGAUAACUGUUGGAAACGAUAGCUAAUACCGGAUAGGUGAUUUGAAGGCAUCUUCGAAUCAUUAAAGUAGGGUCACUACACCAAUGGAUGAGUUUAUGGCGCAUUAGUUAGUUGGCGGGGUAACGGCCCACCAAGACGAUGAUGCGUAGCCGACCUGAGAGGGUGACCGGCCACACUGGGACUGAGACACGGCCCAGACUCCUACGGGAGGCAGCAGUAGGGAAUUUUCGGCAAUGGGCGCAAGCCUGACCGAGCAACGCCGCGUGAGUGAUUAAGGCCUUCGGGUUGUAAAGCUCUGUUGUAAGGGAAGAACAUUCAGGAUAGGAAAUGAUCUUGAACUGACGGUACCUUACCAGAAAGCCACGGCUAACUACGUGCCAGCAGCCGCGGUAAUACGUAGGUGGCAAGCGUUAUCCGGAAUUAUUGGGCGUAAAGGGUGCGUAGGCGGUUUAUUAAGUCUAUGGUGAAAGUGCGGGGCUCAACCCCGUAUGGCCAUAGAAACUGAUAGACUUGAGUGCAGGAGAGGGCAAUGGAAUUCCAUGUGUAGCGGUAAAAUGCGUAGAUAUAUGGAGGAACACCAGUGGCGAAGGCGGUUGCCUGGCCUGUAACUGACGCUGAGGCACGAAAGCGUGGGGAGCAAAUAGGAUUAGAUACCCUAGUAGUCCACGCUGUAAACGAUGAAUACUAAGUGUUGGAGAAAUUCAGUGCUGCAGUUAACGCAAUAAGUAUUCCGCCUGGGGAGUAUGCACGCAAGUGUGAAACUCAAAGGAAUUGACGGGACCCCGCACAAGCGGUGGAUUAUGUUGUUUAAUUCGACGCAACGCGAAGAACCNNNNNNNNNNNNNNNNNNUCGUCAGCUCGUGUCGUGAGAUGUUGGGUUAAGUCCCGCAACGAGCGCAACCCUUGUCUUUAGUUACCAUCAUUCAGUUGGGGACUCUAGAGAGACUGCCGGUGAUAAACCGGAGGAAGGUGGGGAUGACGUCAAAUCAUCAUGCCCCUUAUGGCCUGGGCUACAAACGUAAUACAAUGGCGUAUACAAAGGGAUGCGAAAGGGCGACCUGGAGCAAAACUCACAAAGUACGUCUCAGUUCAGAUUGGAGUCUGCAACUCGACUCCAUGAAGGCGGAAUCGCUAGUAAUCNNCGCGAAUCAGAACGUCGCGGUGAAUACGUUCUCGGGGUUUGUACACACCGCCCGUCAAACCAUGAGAGUUGGUAAUACCCGAAGCCGGUGGCCUAACCUAGAAAUAGGAGGGAGCCGUCGAAGGUAGGAUCGAUGAUUAGGGUUAAGUCGUAACAAGGUAUCCCUACGGGAACGUGGGGAUG
rnacentral:rRNA from 1 species